rnacentral:tRNA from 1 species
UCCCUGAUGGCUCAGCUGGUAAAGAUUCCGCCUGCAAUGCAGAAGACCUAGGUUCUACUCCUAGGUAGGGAA